AAGCAAAGGAUGGAUUAGGAAAGAUUGAAGAAGACAGUUUACCCUUUUCAUUCCUGCUGCCAAUUAUAAGUCCAUGUGGGGUGGCAGGAGAUUUUUUCAUGGAUGAGAUCUCAGUUUGGGAGAGAGAUUUAAUAAAGGAAAAAUCCAAAAUAAAUUUCUAAUUGGCUUGGGUCCUUGGAAGAAGGAAACAGUUUCAGCUGCUCUUCUCCAAUAUAUGUUAUAAUAGACCAUGGAAAACUCGUGGAUGACUUCAGAAAUAACUCCAAGAUACAUAGGAAAAAAAGAAAGAA
rnacentral:lncRNA from 1 species